rnacentral:sRNA from 1 species
UUCCAAGGAAAAAAGCCACAUGUAUGGAA